UACGUAGGUGGCAAGCGUUGUCCGGAAUUAUUGGGCGUAAAGCGCGCGCAGGCGGUCUCUUAAGUCUGAUGUGAAAGCCCACGGCUCAACCGUGGAGGGUCAUUGGAAACUGGGGGACUUGAGUGCAGGAGAGAAAAGUGGAAUUCCACGUGUAGCGGUGAAAUGCGUAGAGAUCAUGAGGAAGACCAGUGGCGAAGGCGGGUCUCUGGACAGUUCCUGACACUGAGACACGAAGGCCAGGGGAGCAAACGGG
rnacentral:rRNA from 1 species